UUUAUUUUCUCAUUGUAUUAUAUUUCUAUCGUUAUAAAUAGAAGAUCAUAAAAGGGGUCUUUCAACCUCUUUAAAAUUUAUUUUUCUCUCUUUUUUGAAUCUUAAGUCUUCCAAUCAUGAGAUCCGAGCCUUCUGAUGUUAUCCAGCAAAGCUGCACAAGGAUGAGCGGGAUCAGCAUUCAAUACCUCAUGAACACAGGACAUUUUUAUCUAACGAAAUAGGUUUAGAAUUUAAAAUUUGACAUUAUUAUCUCCAAGUGACCAAUUCUUCCUGAUAAGUUUAUUAUUGCAGAGAAUAUUUGAAGUGAAUAUCACCUCUCUCUACCUCCCCAAAUUUGUUGUGUGCUUUCCCACGUAUUUUCUUUUGAGUCCAUGCCUCCUCCGACCAAGAUUACAGUUUCAACAUCAAUGGAGAGUUACAUGAUUAAUGUUUUAUGUGUAUGAAUUUUAUUUGCUGUCCUGAUCCUGUUAACUGUUAUUUUUUGAAUCAUUUCUGUUUAUUACGAAUUUUUAUUUGUUGUCCUGAUCCUGUCAACUGAGUUCUACAUGAUGUCGGAAGAAAAAUUGCAUGCAUAAGAAGAAGAGAUUAAUCAAAUUCAAGCAAUAUCUCAGGAGAAGCAAAAGACACACUGAUAUGGUUGACUAGGACGAGAUCUGAUGGUUGUGUCCAAAAUAGUUAAGUUGUAGUUCAUAUAUCAAUGUCAUGUGCCACUUAAUCUCAUUGAGAAAUUGUUAAAUGAAGUUUUAUUCAUGUGAUAUGUGUGGAAA